AGUGAACGCUGGCGGUAGGCCUAACACAUGCAAGUCGAACGGCAGCACAGUAAGAGCUUGCUCUUACGGGUGGCGAGUGGCGGACGGGUGAGGAAUACAUCGGAAUCUACUUUUUCGUGGGGGAUAACGUAGGGAAACUUACGCUAAUACCGCAUACGACCUACGGGUGAAAGCAGGGGAUCUUCGGACCUUGCGCGAUUGAAUGAGCCGAUGUCGGAUUAGCUAGUUGGCGGGGUAAAGGCCCACCAAGGCGACGAUCCGUAGCUGGUCUGAGAGGAUGAUAAGCCACACUGGACCGGAGACACGGUCCAGCCUCCUACGGGAGGAAGAGUUGGGGAAUAUUGGACAAUGGGGGCAACCUGGAUCCAGCCAUACCGGGGGGGUGAAGAAGGCCUUCGGGUUGUAAAGCCCUUUUGUUGGGAAAAAAAAGCAGCAGGUUAAUACCCCGCUGUUCUGACGGUACCCAAAGAAUAAGCACCGGCUAACUUCGU
rnacentral:rRNA from 1 species